UGCCCUAGUAACGGCGAGUGAAGCGGCAAUAGCUCAAAUUUGAAAUCUGACUUCCUUGGAAGUCCGAGUUGUAAUUUGCAGAGGGCGCUUUGGCGUCGGUAGCGGUCUAAGUUCCUUGGAACAGGACGUCACAGAGGGUGAGAAUCCCGUACGUGGUCGACUACCUUCGCCGUGUAAAGCCCCUUCGACGAGUCGAGUUGUUUGGGAAUGCAGCUCUAAAUGGGAGGUAAAUUUCUUCUAAAGCUAAAUACUGGCCAGAGACCGAUAGCGCACAAGUAGAGUGAUCGAAAGAUGAAAAGCACUUUGGAAAGAGAGUCAAACAGCACGUGAAAUUGUUGAAAGGGAAGCGCUUGCCGCCAGACGUGCCCGUGGUGGUUCUCCUCCGCGGGCAGGCCAGCAUCAGUUUGGGCGAUCGGAUAAAGGCCUCUGUCAUGUAUCUCCCUUCGGGGUGACCUUAUAGGGGAGGCGUAAUGCGAUCAGCCCGGACUGAGGUCCGCGCAUCUGCUAGGAUGCUGGCGUAAUGGCUGUAAGCGGCCCGUCUUGAAACACGGACCAAGGAGUCUAACAUCUAUGCGAGUGUUUGGGUGUCAAGCCCGAGCGCGUAAUGAAAGUGAACGGAGGUGGGAACCCUUUGGGUGCACCAUCGACCGAUCCUGAAGUCUUCGGAUGGAUUUGAGUAAGAGCAUGGCUGUUGGGACCCGAAAGAUGGUGAACUAUGCUUGAAUAGGGUGAAGCCAGAGGAAACUCUGGUGGAGGCUCGCAGCGGUUCUGACGUGCAAAUCGAUCGUCAAAUUUGGGCAUAGGGGCGAAAGACUAAUCGAACUAUCUAGUAGCUGGUUCCUGCCGAAGUUGCCCCUCAGGGUACA
rnacentral:rRNA from 1 species